GGCUGUGAGUUGGCUUAAUCUCAGCUGGCAACUGUGAGAUAGUCUUCCAAUCCCUCACAGUGGUCUCUGGGGUUAUGCUAAACAGAGCA
rnacentral:pre_miRNA from 13 species